CCUGCCUCCGAACGGCAUUGAAGGUCUGUAUUUUGUGUCAUAUGAGUGUCAGUAGGAAGCAGAGAAGCUAGAGACUAUGUCUAUGCUCAGCUCACUGUCCUGACCUGUGAACGUCUGAAUGAUUAGUAGCCUAACAUU